GCUGGACGCAGUGACUGUAGUCCCAGCCACUCGGGAAGCUGAGGCUGGAGGAUCGCUUGAGCCCAGGAGUUCUGGGCUGUAGUGCGCUAUGCUGAUCGGGUGUCUGCACUAAGUUCGGCAUCAAUAUGGUGACCUCUGGGGAGGGGGGAGGUUGCCUAAGGAGGGGUGAACCGGCCCAGGUUGGAAACGGAGCAGGUCAAAACUCCCGCGCUGAUCAGUAGUGGGAUCGCGCCUGUGAAUAGCCACUGCACUCCAGCCUGGGCAACAUAGUGAGACCCUGUCUCU
rnacentral:SRP_RNA from 1 species